CAAGAACUUAAGGUUGCUCCUAAUGGUUUCCAUUACCUCCAAGCACUUAUGCUAUGGUGGGAUAAAACUGCCUUAAAUUCUCGCAAGUUCAACUCUUUUUUAAAUUUUUACGAAUUUAGUGGCUCCGAACCCUUAUAAUACGUUCAUCACCAAAUGUCUUUUAAUCUGUUGCAGGAUUUAAUACAAGGACAAGAGAACUGCUAUGCACUUUUAUUCCCAUUCUUAGAACUGUGGUUCUUUAUGUCCAUAGAGCACACUUAGCACUGUUUUAUUUGAACGGCGUUUUCUAUCACAUCGCGAAAAGGCUAACUGGAGUCCAAUAUCUCUUGGUUCGAAGCAGUCUCAGAAAUGAUGGUUCCAGACCUACUUAUCGCCUGCUUGGUUAUCUGUCCGUUAUUCAACUGAGUAUCACUCUCUUAUUGACCGCCUAUCAGCAUUUAAAAUCUGGCAAGUCGCUAGAAAGCCUUGUAACAACAGACAAGACAACACAAGCAAGCGCCACUAUUACGCCUGGCUUGAAGUGUGCACUCUGCUUGGAGAGACUGCGGGACAAGAGUGCAACUCCGUGUGGCCAUUUGUUUUGUUGGAGCUGUAUUACUGAAUGGUGUAGCAGCAAGCCUGAAUGCCCGCUUUGUCGUGAACCUGUUCAGCUCUCAAGACUGGUAUUUCUACACCACUACGAACCCACGUAAACUGUUGCUUUUAUUUUAGGUACUUUAAAACAGAUUUUAUUCAACUCAGGUCAAAAAUCAUACAACCCGCGCAUAAGUUGACGUUCGUGUAAAGUUGGGUAGGAAACUUGUAAAUAAAGAGGGAAUGUAUAUUCAAUCAAAA
rnacentral:lncRNA from 1 species